GCGGCAAACGGGUGAGUAAAAUCUGGGAAUCUACCCAAAAGAGGGGGAUAACUACUAGAAAUGGUAGCUAAUACCGCAUAAAGUUGAAAAACCAAAGUGGGGGACCAUUAAAGGCCUCAUGCUUUUGGAUGAGCCCAGACGAGAUUAGCUUGUUGGUAAGGUAAAGGCUUACCAAGGCUACGAUCUCUAGCUGGUCUGAGAGGAUAACCAGCCACACUGGAACUGAGACACGGUCCAGACUCCUACGGGAGGCAGCAGUGGGGAAUAUUGCACAAUGGGCGAAAGCCUGAUGCAGCUAUGCCGCGUGUAUGAAGAAGGCCUUAGGGUUGUAAAGUACUUUCAGCGGGGAAGAAAAAAAUAAAACUAAUAAUUUUAU
rnacentral:rRNA from 1 species